GAUUUUUGUUUGUCAAAGCAGCAGUUUUGCAAAUUUCGAAUUUGCAAUUAAAGUUAAAAUACCGCUGCAAAGUGCGCUUUUAUUUUCUCUUUAAGCAAAAACUAUUUCAGAUUAAAGUCAGAAAAACGAAUUCAAGUACGGACGGUUAGAAUUUACGGUGGAAGUGAUGGUUAGCGGGAAAUGGUAAAUUGCAUUUUGCUGCGCUUCAUCGGCUGAUGGCGUUGGGUGUUAAUUACCGUUGCAAGUUGACUGCUGGACCUGUGAACUGUGGACUGUCGGGUGAGGAAUACCGGAACAACCGACCCCGAUUGAAGGUGUUCCAUAAGUCGAUACUUGAUUAUUCAAACUGAAUAGGAAAGAAUCCCACAUAGCCGUGUGAUUUGAUGGGGAUAUCAGCAGAAUUUCAUCAUAGUCAGGAUUGGAUCAGCUGCGAAAAAGUUGUGAAAUAGAUUGACGAACUAUCCAAUCUGGAAAAAUGCGAAUCCGCUUUGUUGCAGUUGAGCGAAAAAAAGUGUAUCGGUUCGGGACCUUGCCCGAUUGUGUGGCACCGUUCCGGAAAAGCUUCUAUCCGUCGAUAAAUUUGGCCACCCGAAUCGUGUUUGCAACUCGAAACUCGUUCAGUUUUCCUGGUGGCCCACAUUCCAUUGUUUCUCAGUUGCGAGACGGGAUAUUUCCUGCCAGUUUUUAAGAGAGCCAUUGCACUACAUACUUUAUUUUUCGCUGCUCAAGAAUUUAUAAACUGAAAACCGAACCCUAAAACCAAUCCGUGAUCGGUGGGCAUUUUACCGCAAAACUUCCUAAUAGUUGAUUCUAUCAGCAAUCCUCUGGAAGUUUUCAAAUGAUCAAUUGAUUAGACAGUACCAAAGAAAAUUUCAUUAGCCUGGAUUGGAUCGUACAGAGUGAAUUUCAUAAAUUUUGUGGCUGAUCACUAUACAUUCACCCGAUGGCAUUGUCAAUGCACGUUACAUAUUUAGUAACGAGAGAAUUCAUUCAAGUCUCGGUUCGAUCAAAUUUCCACAAUCGGUAGUCUUUUUCACCAUGCCGUAUCGAAUCCAUUCUACUGUCGAGCUACAUGUCGGGUUUAUUCAUUCACGGAAUAAUUUAUCAAAAGAUCCAGAUGUUUUCAUCACAACAGCUGUUGGCCAUCAGACAUUGUUAGCAAUUUGGAAGUCAACAGGAACAUAAAGUCUUGCCCGGAGUAUAAUCGGCGGUCCUCUUAUCAGCUUGGACAGGAAAAAGAGCGUCUAGAAGUGCGGUUUACGAUGCCUCCGACGCGGCAUCCUAUGCGAUUUAUCCAACAUCCCAGGGCAUUAUCAAUUGGCGCAACCGUACUUAAAGUCUUGACAGUCAACUAUCCCGCAGAAACUCUCGAAGAUCAACUUGUUGCUGUAGCAGAAUGGAACCGUGGUUGCGUUUUGGUGUCAAAUCUUUUACCUACCGUCAAUUUAAUAAUAAGCAUGUCUAUGAUACAAAAAAAAAUGAUAUUAAAUAUGAUAUAAAAUAAAAUAAUUUAUAUGGUACA